GCUCCCUCCAGACCUCAGGGCGCUGCCGCUGGUCUCCAUCGGUCUUUUAAAGGUUCUUUUAAAGGUGAUUUCUCCUGGGUGGGAAGUACCUGUUCUCCUGCGGCAAAUGCAGCUCUACUCUUGCAUCGAAACGUUCCAGACAACUGGCCUAAGGAACAGAGCAGCCAAAAUACAGCAGCAGAGCCCAUGCAGCACACACCACAGACACUCCUAGGAGCCCCAGGCUCUGAGCACUACAUGACUUAUUCAUAAGGCCAUUAUUUUCAGGAUCAGAAGACACACUGGCCUUUCUAAAACAGAUGAAAAAGGAAAGAUUUAGACAAAAUGCUAAGGCAUAGGAAUUUAUUUCAUGUGAUAGAACAAGAUAAGGCCAUGGUUGGAGAUCUAAGCAAAGCAGACAUAAAUAACAUUCCUGAUGGAAAAUUUAAAGAACAAUCAUGAAGAUACUCACUGGGCUUGAGAAAAGAAUAGAAGACAUCAGGGAGUCCCUUACCACAGAGAAAAAAGAAGUAAAAAAAAAAAAAAAA